rnacentral:misc_RNA from 1 species
CUGCAUAUGUUUGGCCAUCAU